UAGGGUUAAGUCACCUUUGGAUUCUUCUCUUCUCCCUCUCACGAUCUCACUCUCUAACAUUAGUGCCUCACUCUCUCAACUCUCAUCUCACCUCUCGAUCGAUAUCUCUCUCGGCUCUCAUGGUCUCUCUGCUACCGAUUCUUCACUCCCUUUGCUAUCACCGAUCCAAUUCUCUCUAUCAUCAUCGUUUUGUUUCGAAUUCAGUAACAAGAAACAUACAAACCUUGAAUGUUACCCUUUAUCCCAAACAAACCCUAAGCCCCAAUUCGUUAUUAUUUUUCGGUGAUUUCAAGAGUAUAUUUACAAGUGAAUCAAAGCAAUUGCAAGUAAAAUAACAACGGGAAUGAAAAGCGGGACCUACAGAUGAUCUUCUUCAGCCCCUCUGCUUCAAGCUUCAGUGAAAUAUUUGAAGUGGAUUGGGGUUUCUAAUGAGGACUGAGUUUAUGAGGGAUUGGGAGAUUCUGCAGAUUUUUCAGAUUUAGUCAAUGAACGCUAUAUUUGGAGGGUGGUUUUAUGGGUAGUUUGGCAGCAAUUUUGGUAUAGAUUCCUCCCUCCUCCUGCUUGUUGGUGCUUCUGUUUUUUUUAUAGGGGGAUUGGAAUGGUAGAAUACAAAAUUCAGGUAUAAAAUUUCUCUCUUUUUUUCUAGAUUUCGCCACUCAUUUUUUGCAAUUCCAUUUUUAGGUUUCCCCGAUUGAUUAAUAUCGAAAAAGAAAUUUCCCCCCUUUUUGUUGUUGUUGAUUGUUUCGUGAUUGACUAUGAUUUCAUACAUCUGGUAUAGCUGCACUUUAUGUUAAGAAGCUUAAAGAUGUAGGUAUUUGUACUGUUGAAUCUGUUGCUUAUACUCCCAGGAAGGAUCUUUUGCAAAUCAAAGGUAUCAGUGAAGCCAAGGUUGACAAGAUCAUUGAAGCAGUUUAUUGACAGCUCCUAAGCUAGUGCCUAUGGGUUUUACUACUGCUAGUGAGCUCCAUGCCCAGCGAGAAUCGAUUAUUCAGAUAACCACUGGGUCAAGAGAGCUUGACAAGAUAUUAGAAGGUUAGAGUCUGAAUUGUAAAUGCUUCUUUUAUGUGUGAAUUUCCAGCAUCGUAUCAAUGCUUUUGCUGCUGAGUGUCAAUAAUUAUAUAUGUUGGUGGUCCUUCAAUCAGGUGAAAUUGAGGCGAGUUCUAUCACCUCAUUUGACCUUGUUAUUCUUUAAACGGAUUUGUUGUUUUUUGCUUCGUGAUUGAUUUAUGUUUUUUAUUUUUCAUUUUGUUGUUGUAGCAUUGGUACAAGGAUGAGAAGUGGAGCACCAGGGAGAAGGAUAAAGACAGAUUUUUUCUUUUGAUUUGGUCAACAAGGUCAGUGGUGAGGGAAAAAUAGGACAAGUAUAUGCUUAUCAAAACUAGUACUGCCAAAAAACUAUGUCUUCAUAUUAAACACACUAAAGAUAACAACAGUAAACCUAAUCACAUUCUGUAGAAGAUGUUAUGCAAAUACUUACUGAGAUUUAAUUUGCAAUACUAUUUCACGUGUUCAUAAUUUGAUAUACAUGCUAACAAAACAAUCUAUGAUGUUAAGGUUCUCAAUCCUUCAAUGCAUUUGAUUAUUUAGUUGAACAUUUAUUUUCCAGCACUUAUGGUUUCCAGUGCUCAGGAAGGUAAAUAUGCAAUUCUUGUAGGCUCCUUGUAUUUAAUUACAUACAAAGAUAGAAAUUCUGAUGGUGAAUGAUUGCUCCUUGUAGGCUGGGAAUCGAUGAAGAGCUCGUGGCUUUUCUUGGGAAAUGAUGUUGUACUAUAUUUGGAGUAUUAAAGAUGAAUCUGUUUUAUUUGGUUCUCAAGGAAAGAAGAGAAGCACCUUAAACUUUGAUGGAUCCUAUCCUAUGUAUGUUCUAUUGACAUACAAGUGUUCCUAGUUGUAGAAGAUCUAUUCAAGAAUGGAUGCUGAAGACAAUGGAGCAAUUCACUGAUGUUUAUUGGAUCAAAUUUUGUCUUUUCAGCAAUGCCAGGUUAUAAACCCUCUUUGGCCAUGAAGAGAUCUUUGAAAAGAAUCAAUUUAGGGAAGGUUGUACCCACUGGCUGUUUGAGACUGAACCGCAACUAUAUACUAUACCUUUGAACUCACUAGUCAUGGUGUAAAACUAUUAGUAGCUCUGUAUUUGGUUUUGUCUUCACACUAGAAGUACAUUUAUGAUACUUUCAUGAUCGCAUAAUCUAAUGCUAGAAUUGUAUUUAUAAAACAUGGUUGAUCCUAAAUAAAUGCUAGAAUUGUAUUUACUUUCAUUUUUAAUUUUAUAUUGAUCAAUAUUAUUGUUAA